rnacentral:rRNA from 1 species
AUGGAGACAGAACAGAAACCUGAAAUACAUGGUCACUUGAAAAUCCUUGGAAAAGAUUUGGCCUUCUUACAAAAGAGAAUUUUCCUAACAGAAUUCCAAAAGCCAUAUGUUCCUUUGAUACUUGAAUUGUUGCCUAUGUUACCUGCACACAGGAGCAGUUUAGAUACUGAUACAACACAAAUAUAUGGCAUGAGAUGGAAACAAUUCUCUUACUUGCCGCUGACCAGCACUGAUAAGUAUUUCUGUAUCUACUUGUCCAGUAACACCUGGCACCUUACCAAAGCACAGUUAAAUAUCAAAUAUGCUCGGGGAACACAUUUCAAUAUUAUUGGCUGA